rnacentral:lncRNA from 1 species
GGAGAGGAGGAAGGAUCUGUUUCUGGAGGGUCCCCUGGAUUCUUCACCCAGUCAUGCACUCAGCAGAUAUGUAUUUGCCACCUUCUAGAGGUUGCACUUUUUUUUUUUUUUUAGAGGUCCAUUGUAAAUGCCCACAAGAAUUUCUCACUUCCUGAUGUUGGCGACAUGGCUCAGAGUUGGUGGAGCACGAACGCUGCGCGUGAGCAUUGACCAGUAGGAAGAGGAAGUGGCAACAGGCCGAGCGUAUACAAGGCUGCAAGAUAUAUGAGCUAAAGAAAAUUGCUGACAGUGGAAAUGGUCACAGGCAGUUCAAGUUACAGUGGAUAUCAUGCAGAGAAAGAAAAAAGAAAGCAUGGUCAGAAGGAAAGAAGAAGAAAGGAGGAAAAGAAGGAAGAAAAGAAGGAAGAAGGAAGACAUGAGGUCAGUCCCACCCCUGCUGUUCACUAGACCAUCUUCCCUACUAGGUUGUGAGCUCCUGGAGAGCAGGCCCUGCAACUUCACGUUUAUAUAACAAGUGCACACACAAGGCUGGAGGAUGGAUGGAUGGAGGGAUGGAGGGAUGGAUGGAUGAAUGGAUAAACCAUGAAGCCAUUGGUAUAAAAUGGUAUAAAAUGGGAAGCCAUAAAGUGAGGGGGAGAGAAAGAUUCAGAGAAAGGUUCAUAAAAUUUUUCGAUCUUCUGUGUAUCUAAUGACAGUAACGUUCUUAUCCCGGGGUCGGGGAAUGGAUUGUUAUCAUGAGUCAAUGAGAUGAUUUAGGGGCUCAGUAGUAAAAUACCUAACAUUCACUUGACACCUGCUGUAGGUCAGACAGCAAACUAAAUGCUUUAUGGGAAUUAUAUAGCACCUGAGUCAUGCCUAUGAGUGAGGAGCUAUUUGAUAUCCUCACUUCAUGGUUGUGGAAACUGAUAACUCAAAAGGUUAGGUGAUUUGCCCAUAAUUUUUAGGAACUAAGUGAAGACACUAGAACUUGACCUGGACCCUUAAUUACAAUGCUAACUAUAAUGACUAUUAUUUUUACAAUUUAGCAUGUCUCCUUCCUUGACAGCUCCAGUGGGGACAAUGACUAGUGAAAGCUCUUUGCAAAUCUCUUGAGUCCUUGUGGCCACUGUGACAGCAACAGUAUUUUCCUCUGCCAGGAGAAGCCCCUGACCCCUUCCUGCGCUGCUCUCUCAUUUUGGGGCUGUGACACC